AAUAGAUACCCAGGUAGUCCAUGCCGUAAACGUUGGGCGCUGGGUGUGGGGACCUUCCACGGUCUCCGUGCCGCAGCUAACGCGUUAAGCGCCCCGCCUGGGGAGUACGGCCGCAAGGCUAAAACUCAAAGGAAUUGACGGGGGGCCCGCACAAGCGGCGGAGCAUGCUGAUUAAUUCGAUGCAACGCGAAGAACCUUACCUGGGUUUGACAUAUACCGGAAAGCUGCAGAGAUGUAGCCCCCCUUGUGGUCGGUAUACAGGUGGUGCAUGGCUGUCGUCAGCUCGUGUCGUGAGAUGUUGGGUUAAGUCCCGCAACGAGCGCAACCCUCGUCCUAUGUUGCCAGCACGUAAUGGUGGGGACUCAUAGGAGACUGCCGGGGUCAACGUCGGAGGAAGGUGGGGAUGACGUCAAGUCUUCAUGCCCCUUAUGUCCAGGGCUUCAAGCAUGCUACAAUGGCCGGUACAAAGGGCUGCGAAACCGCAAGGUGGAGCGAAUCCCAAAAAGCCGGUCUCAGUUCGGAUUGGGGUCUGCAACUCGACCCC
rnacentral:rRNA from 1 species